rnacentral:piRNA from 1 species
UGUCAGGGGAGAAGCAGUGA